GCCGAGGGCUGAGGUCGGAAAACAAUCGCGGACCCGCGGGAAGAAGACGCCGGCCCCUCCCGCCGCCCCGAUCCCGGGCAGUGCCUAGAACAGAAGUAUGUGUAGAAUGAUGAAUGACACAUUCAUCAUCCCCCUUGAUGGACAGAGCCAGCAUCAGAAGCCAAGCAGAAGAAGUACCUCCAGAAGCAAACCUCUGUUCUACCCAGAAAUCAGAACCAAGAUAGAACAAAAAUUAAACAUGAACCAAACACUCU